rnacentral:rRNA from 1 species
AUAACAGAUGGAAACGGCUGCUAAUACCGCAUAAGCGCACAGUACCGCAUGGUACAGUGUGAAAAACUCCGGUGGUGUGAGAUGGACCCGCGUCUGAUUAGCUAGUUGGCAGGGCAACGGCCUACCAAGGCGACGAUCAGUAGCCGACCUGAGAGGGUGACCGGCCACAUUGGGACUGAGACACGGCCCAAACUCCUACGGGAGGCAGCAGUGGGGAAUAUUGCACAAUGGGGGAAACCCUGAUGCAGCGACGCCGCGUGAGCGAAGAAGUAUUUCGGUAUGUAAAGCUCUAUCAGCAGGGAAGAAGAAAUGACGGUACCUGACUAAGAAGCACCGGCUAAAUACGUGCCAGCAGCCGCGGUAAUACGUAUGGUGCAAGCGUUAUCCGGAUUUACUGGGUGUAAAGGGAGCGCAGGCGGAAGGCUAAGUCUGAUGUGAAAGCCCGGGGCUCAACCCCGGUACUGCAUUGGAAACUGGUCAUCUAGAGUGUCGGAGGGGUAAGUGGAAUUCCUAGUGUAGCGGUGAAAUGCGUAGAUAUUAGGAGGAACACCAGUGGCGAAGGCGGCUUACUGGACGAUAACUGACGCUGAGGCUCGAAAGCGUGGGGAGCGAACAGGAUUAGAUACCCUGGUAGUCCACGCCGU